rnacentral:rRNA from 1 species
GGGCCCGCACAAGCGGUGGAGCAUGUGGUUUAAUUCGAUGAUACGCGAGGAACCUUACCAGGGCUUAAAUGUACGUUGCAUGAUCUAGAGAUAGAUCUUUCUUCGGACUACGUACAAGGUGCUGCAUGGUUGUCGUCAGCUCGUGCCGUGAGGUGUCAGGUUAAGUCCUAUAACGAGCGCAACCCCUAUCGUUAGUUGCCAACAGGUUAAGCUGGGAACUCUAACGAGACUGCCGGUGCAAACCGCGAGGAAGGUGGGGAUGACGUCAAAUCAUCACGGCCCUUACGUCCUGGGCCACACACGUGCUACAAUGGCCGGUACAGAGAGCAGCCACUCCGCGAGGAGGAGCGAAUCUAUAAAACCGGUCUCAGUUCGGAUCGCAGUCUGCAACUCGACUGCGUGAAGCUGGAAUCGCUAGUAAUCGCAAAU